rnacentral:misc_RNA from 1 species
UUAUUGUUCCUAGGGUGGUUGGUACUGUCUAACAUACCCAAAUUCUUAGUCAUUUACUCAUUUUGAGUUCGCUUGCAAUAGUUGCACAUAAAAUGAUUGAUCAGCAUUAGCAAUUCUCUGCUUGAUUAUAAACAGCAGAGUUGUUUAACAUGCCAUUUAAGCCACUGCAUUCAAGGCUAUUAAUAUUGGCGAUGAUGACCUUUCUUUUCCAAGAAAUUUUGUUUGCAUGACAAUAUGGGGAUUGUAAUUUCCAAAUUUGCAUUGCAUGCAUGACUGCAAAAAGCUAUGAACGUUUGCCUCCUUCAAGUUCAAAGACAGUCAGAAAGAUGUACAAUGUUUUUGUAUGUGAGACUGCCCAACUUUUCCUCAUGGAGUGUGCUGUGAGAGAUUAAGAGGAGACCUUCUGAGAAAGAACAGUUGCCUGAUUCCUUCCUUAGGUAUCUUAGAAAAUCUAGUGUUCUCUGUUAUUAGUGAGAGAUGGUUCAAUAGUCUUGUUACUGUGAUUUAUUUUUGUUGAGAUAGCCCAGCUGAGCCAGUCGACAUCGUUUUUGUAUAGAAGCUGGCUCUAUUUUGCUAAUUAACCUUCAUCUCCCCCCUUAAUGUGGGGGGAAGAUGGUAAAAGGUAUAGUAAAAGAAGAUGAAAGGCAUGUUACUUCUUCCCCCCUUUCUCAAUAAAUAUGUUUUCUUAUAAAGAAAAUAAAAAAAAAAGAAAAAGAUCCAUCUUCUUCUGCAUGACUUCUUUAGGUACAAAAUACUUUGUUGGAAUUCAACGCAUACAUUGGUGACAUGAUAAGGAACUAACCAAGAUUAGGUUUCUAAUCUUUUCCUUACUGCUGGAAGCUUACUGUAAUUUUGUUAUGCUUUAUCUUUUGUUUCAUCACACUUGUUUAUUGCUGCUGAAUGAUGUUGACAAGGACUGUUGAUGUUUGUUAGGUAGCAAGGAUUCUUCUGUUCAU